rnacentral:rRNA from 1 species
UACGAAGGGGGCUAGCGUUGCUCGGAAUCACUGGGCGUAAAGCGCACGUAGGCGGAUCUUUAAGUCAGGGGUGAAAUCCUGGAGCUCAACUCCAGAACUGCCUUUGAUACUGGGGAUCUCGAGUCCGGAAGAGGUGAGUGGAACUCCGAGUGUAGAGGUGAAAUUCGUAGAUAUUCGCAAGAACACCAGUGGCGAAGGCGGCUCACUGGCCCGAUACUGACGCUGAGGCACGAAAGCGUGGGGAGCAAACAGG